UUACGGGAGGCAGCAGUGGGGAAUAUUGGACAAUGGGGGCAACCCUGAUCCAGCAAUGCCGCGUGAGUGAUGAAGGCCUUAGGGUUGUAAAGCUCUUUCGCCCGAGACGAUGAUGACGGUAUCGGGAGAAGAAGCCCCGGCUAAUUCCGUGCCAGCAGCCGCGGUAAUACGGAAGGGGCUAGCGUUGUUCGGAAUUACUGGGCGUAAAGCGCGCGCAGGCGGCUUGGCGAGUGAGGCGUGAAAGGCCUGGGCUCAACCCGGGAACGGCGCUUCAGACUGUCAGGCUCGAGUUCGGGAGAGGGUGGUGGAAUUCCCAGUGUAGAGGUGAAAUUCGUAGAUAUUGGGAGGAACACCGGUGGCGAAGGCGGCCACCUGGCCCGCAACUGACGCUGAAGCGCGAAAGCGUGGGGAGCAAACAGGAUUAGAUACCCGAGUAGUCA
rnacentral:rRNA from 1 species